rnacentral:rRNA from 1 species
UACUCCUACGGGAGGCAGCAGUGGGGGAUAUUGCACAAUGGAGGAAACUCUGAUGCAGCGACGCCGCGUGAGUGAAGAAGUAUUUCGGUAUGUAAAGCUCUAUCAGCAGGGAAGAUAGUGACGGUACCUGACUAAGAAGCUCCGGCUAAAUACGUGCCAGCAGCCGCGGUAAU